rnacentral:rRNA from 1 species
GCCCCUGAGUAAGGGGGGGCCGGGCCGCCCUCGCCGUAAUAACUGGUCCGGGUGGCUCCUGUCCUUUUAGGGAAACCUCAACGCCAUCCAAGGCUGUGUGGGGUUUACGAUAUUAAAUUUUGCUUUGAGAAGAUUAGAGUGCUUAAAGCAGGCAUAGGCCUUGAAUACUCCAGCAUAGAAAAUUAGAAAGAUUUUUAUCUUUUUUGGGGUUAGGGGAUAAGAAUAAUGAUUAAUAGGGACAGUGGGGGCAUUUGUAUUAGACAGUCAAAGGUGAAAUUUUUAGAUUUGUUAAAGACAAACUAAUGCGAAAGCAUUUGCCAAGGAUGUUUUCAUUAAUCAAGAACGAAAGUUAGGGGAUCGAAGACGAUCAGAAACCGUCGUAGUCUUAACCAUAAACUAGCCAAUGGGGGGAUAAUGGCGCCCCCGGGAUCGGG